rnacentral:tRNA from 1 species
AGAAAAGUAAGCUAAUCUUAAAGCUAAUGGGUUCAUACCCCAUUUAUAGGGGUAUUCCCUCUUCUCUA